UACGAAGGGGGCUAGCGUUGCUCGGAAUCACUGGGCGUAAAGCGCACGUAGGCGGACUCUUAAGUCGGUGGUGAAAUCCUGGAGCUCAACUCCAGAACUGCCUUCGAUACUGAGAGUCUUGAGUCCGGGAGAGGUGUGUGGAACUGCGAGUGUAGAGGUGAAAUUCGUAGAUAUUCGCAAGAACACCAGUGGCGAAGGCGGCUCACUGGCCCGGUACUGACGCUGAGGUGCGAAAGCGUGGGGAGCAAACAGG
rnacentral:rRNA from 1 species